rnacentral:rRNA from 1 species
GUUAGGAAUAUUGGACAAUGGGCGCAAGCCUGAUCCAGCCAUGCCGCGUGAACGAUGAAGGCCUUCGGGUUGUAAAGUUCUUUAGCCGAUGAUUAUAAUGACUGUAGUCGGAAAAUAAGCCCCGGCUAACUUCGUGCCAGCAGCCGCGGUAAUACGAAGGGGGCGAGCGUUAUUCGGAAUCACUGGGCGUAAAGCGUGCGUAGGCGGUCUCGUAAGUUAGGAGUGAGAGCCCAGGGCUCAACCUUGGAAUUGCUCUUAAAACUGCAAGGCUAGAAUCUCGGAGAGGAUAGCGGAAUUUCCAGUGUAGCAGUGAAAUGCGUAGAUAUUGGAAGGAACACCAGUGGCGUAAGCGGCUAUCUGGACGAGUAUUGACGCUGAGGCACGAAAGCGUGGGGAUCAAACAGGAUUAGAUACCCCGGUAGUCC